rnacentral:rRNA from 1 species
GACGAACGCUGGCGGCGUGCUUAACACAUGCAAGUCGAACGGAAAGGCCCUGCUUUUGCGGGGUGCUCGAGUGGCGAACGGGUGAGUAACACGUGAGUAACCUGCCCUUGACUUUGGGAUAACUUCAGGAAACUGGGGCUAAUACCGGAUAGGAGCUCCUGCUGCAUGGUGGGGGUUGGAAAGUUUCGGCGGUUGGGGAUGGACUCGCGGCUUAUCAGCUUGUUGGUGGGGUAGUGGCUUACCAAGGCUUUGACGGGUAGCCGGCCUGAGAGGGUGACCGGCCUCAUUGGGACUGCGAGACGGCGCAGACUCGUACGGGAGGCAGCAGUGGGGAAUAUUGCACAAUGGGCGGAAGCCUGAUGCAGCAACGCCGCGUGCGGGAUGACGGCCUUCGGGUUGUAAACCGCUUUCGCCUGUGACGAAGCGUGAGUGACGGUAAUGGGUAAAGAAGCACCGGCUAACUACGUG